rnacentral:lncRNA from 1 species
UUUAGGGGUGAUUAUUUUUUGGCUUAAAUAUGUAAAAGGUCCUUGUAAGUUCGCGUGUUUUUGGUUUUCGUCCCUGUAAAUUUUUUUGUUCUAGAACUCAUCCUGUAAGUUGUUAACCUUUUGGUUUUAGUCCCUAACGUUAACUUCCGUUAAAAAAAAAACGCAUUGUUGGCAAAUGGAGUCACACGUACCAAUCAAUGACAUGGCAAAACACGCUUAUGUGUACUGACAGAUGAUAAGUGACUAGAUUUGAGGGAGCAAAACCAAAAACGUAAAAUUGCAGAGGGACGAAAUUGAAAAAAAUGUAAAUAUCAAAU